CCCUGCAUCAGAAUCUCUAAGGCUUUACACAGCCCAGCCACUCUGGUUUCAGCAGAGUCUCCAGGUGACUCCCAGGUCAAGAAUUUUCAGAGAUUUCUCCAUUAGAAGACUUUCAGAUGCCACCAAAUGUAUUUGGAGUAAAGGUGAUGAAGGUAUUGGAGAGAAUCAAGGACAAAGCACCAGCCCAGGACUAUUGAAUGGAGCAGACAUACAUUGCUUCCUGGACACCAGCUUCCAACCCCACUUCAUGAAGAGAGAGAGAGAAGGAGGGAAGAAAGGAGAGAGAGAAAUAUGAGUGUAAGAGAGAUACAUCAGUUGGCUGCCUACUGGAGUACCUGGACCCUGGAUCAUAGGAGGCCCAGAUUAGUUGCCCCCUGGAUGUGCCAGACCUGGGAUUCUAUGCACCUGGACUGAGGAUUGGACCUGCAAGUCAGUACUGUGAAAGGAAGAGCAUUUGCUUUGUACCACACAGAUGGUGUUACCCUGGGAGAAACCAGAGGGAAACAUGUCGACAUGAGGCACAGUAUCUUGAUUAUGAGAAGAUUCCAAGGCAUGACCAGGAGAGCUGAUGGUGGUGAUGGGGAGGAGGAGACAGAAAUGAUGCAUGUUGUUGUCAGGGGCCCCCAGGCCCUGAAAGGUCUUCACAACCUUGUAACCCUGAUGAUGUCCCACCUGCCAUAAACCUACUGUGAAACCGGAGAUCACCCACACUCCUGGGGAGCAGCAGCAGUCUCCUAGUCUUUCUGUGAAUGAAGAGCCCCUCACUCUGGAUAUUUGAGAAGGAGAGUUUGAGCGUACCAAAAUUCCAAAGACUUUUAAAAAUUGUUUUCCCACCCUUGAUACAUAGAAAUUUCUAUUCAUCAAAGAAGAUUCCCCAAUCCAGAGGAACAUGAAAAAAAUUAAAAUUAUUCAUAAGCCUAGCAACCCAAGAUAAUUACUAAUUUUUAUCUUUUCAUAUUUGGCAUCAAAAUGUAAUAGAGGUUCUAACACACUUUUUUAUUUAAUAAGUAAUAUAUGGCCAGCUUUUUCUAU